rnacentral:rRNA from 1 species
CCUACGGGUGGCAGCAGUGAGGAAUAUUGGUCAAUGGGCGCGAGCCUGAACCAGCCAAGUAGCGUGAAGGAUGACUGCCCUACGGGUUGUAAACUUCUUUUAUAAAGGAAUAAAGUGAGGCUCGUGAUCCUUUUUGUAUGUACUGUAUGAAUAAGGGUAGCCUAAAUCCGUGCCAGCAGCCGCGGUAAGACGGAGGAUCCGAGCGUUACGCGGAUUUAUUGGGUUGAAAGGGAGCGUAGAUGGGUUGUUAAGUCAGUUGUGAAAGUUUGCCGCUCAACCGUAAAAUUGCAAUUGAUACUGGCAGUCUUGAGUACAGUUGAGGUAGGCGGAAUUCGUGGUGUAGCGGUGAAAUGCUUAGAUAUCACGAAGAACUCCGAUUGUGAAGGCAGCUUACUAAACUGCCACUGACAUUGAUGCUCGAAAGUGUGGGUAUCAAACAGGAUUAGAUACCCUUGUAGUC